GAGUGUCUCCUCCUCUCAGUAUCUCUGGGGCCCUGUCCCCAUGUGGAUCUCUCUCAUCCUGGGAUGCUGAAGUGGAAAAGGACCUGGCUGCCACGGUGGAUGGGCCUCCAGCGCUUUCCAGGCUAACUCAGCGAGCCCAGUCUUCUUAGUCAACUGAGAGACAUGUCUACAGAACAGACCAUGUGGCCAACUCCUCCUCCUCCCCAUGCCCCAGGCAAGAGGACUCUGGGAAGACAUCCAGGAAGCAAGGAGUCUGUAGCCAGCUGCCUUCAGAAGCCCAAGGUCAUUGGCCCUGCCACUCUGGUUUGCCAACUCCUCAAGGACCACAUAGGCCCAACUGUUAUGGAAAGGGUGGACCAGAGAGAGGGGCUUCUUUUCCUUCGGCUUUGGGGAAGGCAAAGGCAAUUCCUGCCACUGCCCACUCCAGAGACGGCCGCAUCUUCCAGGUGACUAAAGGCAAGUGAUGGUUCUGAGGAGACCAGGACUGUGGGGAGCUCCUGGGCUCAGUGGGGGGAGCUCCUGGGCUCAGUGGGGGGAGCUCCUGGCCUCGGGGAGAGCCCCAGAUGUCGCUCCCCUCUUCAGCUGCAUGGCAGAGCAGGGGUUAACAGGGAGAGGCUGCAAGGCUGGAGCUGCGAGGCUGGAGCAGGCGGUGGCUCCCGCCUCUUCACCACCCCCCUCAAGAGUUGCUGACUCUUCCUUUUUGUUCGGGCUGACAGCGAGCACCUGGUGUGCUCCUGCAACAAUAUUGUUCCUGCCUCCCUCCCCCCAGGCCCCAGGCUCCCUUCCCUCUCCCCCUCCCCGCCCGCCGGCAACCUUCCCCUCUGCCUCCUCUUUCCCUUGCCCCCUCCUGCCUGUGGCCUCCUAGGCACCCCCCUACCACAACCACCACAAGCACCGACGCUGCAGUGUCAAUAAACACAACAUAUGCUGCCAUUAAUGUGAAAA
ensembl:lncRNA novel transcript